AAUAUGUCAAUUCUGGUCUAGAACAGGCCAUAAGGUACAUCAUAGACCCAACUGCAUUAGAAUAAGGCACUCUUGCCAUUCUUUCAAAUUCUUCUUUAGAUUUAGGAUAUUGUUCGUUAAAAAGUUUGAAAUGGUUGGCCAAAGGUGAACGCACACUUUUGGAGUCAGACAUCGCAAACUUAUUUAACAAUAUUAGCAUAUAUGAUUUUUGGCUAAGACUUAGUGUACAUUCCCUCCUAUUUCUUUUAACUUCAAUAUCCAAAAUCCUUCUUACCGGAUUUAAGUCCAUUUCAAAUUCUGAUUUUAAUCUAUUUUUUAUUUCUUCUAUCUCUUUUAUGUCAUGACUUGCCAAAGCAUGUCAUCCUCAUAAUGGAGCAAAUAAAGUGAAUUUUCUCCACCAUUUCCUUUAUAAUAUAGACAGGUAUCAAAGUUACUUUUUUUAAAACCAAGUCCAAGGAUAAAAUUAUCAAAUUUUUUAUACCAUUGCCUUGGAUGUUUUAAGCCAUAUAGAGACUUUUUAAGAAGGCAAACUAAGUCAGAUUUCUGAUUUAUUUCAAAAUCCUUAGGUUCUUUCAUGUAAAUAGUUUCAUCCAGGUCACCAUUUAAAAAAGCUAUUUUGACAUCCAAUUGAUCUAGUUUCCAAUUAAAUUGUGUGGCUAAAGCUAGAAUAACUCUUUAACAUUUGUAAAUUUUACAACUGGAGAAGAUUUCAUUGAAAUAAACUCCCUCUUUUUGGGUAAAGCUCUUUGAUACAAGUUUAGCUUUAUAUCUGAUGUCAUUUUCAGUUCGUUCCCUUUUUUAAUUUUGAAAAUUCAUUUACAAUCAACAACUCUUUUACCUUCAGGUUUUUUGACCAGCACCCAAGUUUUAUUCUUUUUAAGUGAUUGCAUUUCAUCUUGCAUUGCUGCAAGCCAAUCUUUAUAAUCUUAGCUACUUAUGGCUUCCUCAAAAGACUCAGGCUCAUUUUCAAUCAUACUUUGAUAAGAUAGUAAAGAAAUAUCUUCAUCAAACCUAAUUGGAGGUCUUAUUUGUCUUCUUUGCCUGUCUCUAGCGAGUUGAUAGUUAUCUAAGGUCUGGUCAGUUUCUAAAUCAGGUUCCUGUUCACCAACAGGAACAGGAGCUUCAGGUGCUUCCUCAUUUCUCUCAAUAGGAAGUAUCCUGAUCUGUUGUGUAUCAUUUUCAGGUUGCUUCACCUCAAUUUCAACCCCCUUUUCCACAUUUUCAAUCUGACUAAGGGGUUCAACCUGAUUUUCAGUUUUAAGACAGGGCAGAUCAUCUUCAUUAAAUACCACAUUCCUACUGAUUAUGAUUUUAUAGCCUUUGAUUUCUUUCACCCGUAGUCUUAGUUAAUAUAGUGGGCCUGUUCUUCUUCCUGCUCCACUUUUAUGCACAUGAUGAUUAUACCACCCCUUGAAUUAUUAUUAUUGUUGUUGUUGUGAGAUGGAGAGCCAUGUUAAUGAACUCAACGUUAAUUUCGCACUGAAUUUCUAGAGCAAGAUAUCAGCCAUCGUCGUUGGAGCAGUCAAUGAAGUGUGAGACCCCCCAUGUGACUUCCCAAUCCAAAUUCAAAUGAAUGCCUUACAUGUGGUGCUAAACGUAAUAGAGAGUGUGAAGGUACCUUCUGAGCUUAGGGAUUAACAUGCCACUUUAUGAUCUCCAUCUCCCUCUCUCUCUCCCCUCCUAACCAAAUGCUUUGCUUUGAAGCUUGUCACAUUUUAUUUCUUUAUUUUUCAGGUCAUUUUGUGUUGAUCAACUUGCCAUAUACAAUUCUCAAUCCAUACUUCAUGUCAGAAGUUGCACAGAUUCUUAAUAAAAUCUGUUCGGGGUGUAAAUUUCUUAGGCACUAUAAGGUCAAGGUCAGGUACCACAUUCUCAUAUACUGAAAUUAAGGUUGCUGAAGUGGGAAGAAAAUUUUCUCUCUUAUUGUGUAAUACAUAUGAUGCAGCAAGAAGUGAGAACUAGGAGAAGAGCACAAAUCGAAGCUCGGCAAUGCCCAAUGGAAUACUGAGAAUUGACCAAUUAACAAUCAUAUUUAUUCAACUGCAAAUUGAGAUCUCAUUGAAGUUAGAAUCUCGUUGAUUCAAAGUAAACAUUGAGGAUUGAUUUUGAUCAACAGAUCCGUAGAUUCAAACUUUAUACUGAUAUUGAAUAGUGAUUUGGAACAAACUUCAAAGAUUUCAAUUUUAUUCAAUAAAUAACCAAGUUACAGUGAAAUCCUGAUUCCCUAUAUAAACAAGAAAUACUGUAACUAAUGUCUAGACCAAAACAAACUCUAGGAACUAUAUAUGAUUAAAUAAAACAUUGGAUUAUAAUAUUUUAUAACAAAAAAAUAAAUUAAGUAAUUUAAAUAAACGAGUACAUAAUGACUACCAAAAUGAAAGAAUUCCUGUUCUACUGCCUCAAUGUCGAAAUUUGGCCAAAAAACCAUUGGUCUCAAGAGUUUUACCCAGUGAAUUCUGUUUAAGGCCUGUUUAUGCUUAAAAAACUUCUAUUUUUCACCCAAUUCAGAUACGGUAGACUGAAACUGGGUCAAAAUAUUUGAUUGCAUCACAUAAUAUAUACAUUUUAUUUCGCAUUUGAUCUAUUCCAACCUUUUGAUAUUCCUCAACUGUGACGCCCCUGCAUGUUAGUCUGCAUAAGCUGUCUCAUGUUUAAGUAAUCAAGUCGGGUUAAUAGAGCUAGUUCUUCAUCAUUAAGGGUGCAUUUGCUCAUGGUUACUUUGGACCAUUUUUGUGUUUUAAUAUAUGAGAGAUGUCAAGACUUUGUGGAAUUUAAAGCAUUUCUAUCAAUUGACUGUUAAUAUCCAUUUGGAAGAAUCAGGUUUGCUCAGUUUAUAGUGCACAAGAACCCACUCCACAUGCUAACAAUAUUUGGAAGGUUUGAUGUGCAUGGGGGGUUCUGUAAAUUUCUUAUCUUGUUUGAGCUAUCUGAUUAGUUAAUAAGAAUAAGAAUAUGUUCAAGGGAUAAUUUGUAAGUAUUGUUGGAUUCACUCAAUAGACGUAAAUUGGAUAUCAGUGUGGAAUUGAGAGCUCUCUUCUGGUAUUGUUCAUAUCAAGAAGUGGACUUUCAUCUACUCCAUCUGAAUUUUUAGUUCGGCCCAUCACAAUCAACUUGGGAGGCUGGCAAUGGAAAUUAUUGUACUCCUGUCCACUGUUUCUUUAUCAAUUUGUGAAACUAUUUUUUAGAUUAUUGUAUGCCACUAAAGAUGAUGCACUUAAUGACAUUGAAUGCACUAAAUGACAUUCAUUUAUUAAACUAUCAAUUUUAUUUUUUUUCCAAUUCUUUGCAAAAUGUUAUUACUAUUAUUUUGUUUAUGCAUGCAGCAGAAAGCUGAUUCUUCAUCUAGUCAUCAUCAGCCUAGGAAUUGCAAAUACUGUACUGGAAGGCUAAGAGACCGUUAUCCGCCAAUGAAACUUAAAGUAUCUUCCAAAGGCACGUUUGCAAAGACGGCAGUUGUUGCAGAGGUCAAUGAGAAGUUCAUAAAUAACGGCUCAGGAAAAGUUUUGGCUUCUGACAAUUGGGGUUGCACCCUCAAGAAACAAACCCAGAAGAGAGUUCCCCACAAUCAAACAUAAGAGUUCUAUCACAUGCCCGGGUAACAUUCCCAUUACCGUUUCUAGUUGAGUGGAUGUAUUGUUCAUUCUUAUCUCUUCUGUUUGUAUUAUGAUCCCUACAUUUCAGCAAGUGCACUUUUUGGUUUUAUGUUCUUUCAGUUUAUUCAUUGCCGUGUAAUGUAGUUUUUCUGUUUUCUAUGACCUUGAAGCUGCCACAAUGAAUUCCUUUACCCUAAGCAUGCCUCUUUAGCUAUAAUGUACUUUCUUCUAAAAGCACCUGCUACAUUGAUAAAAUCAAUUGAAUGUCACGUGAACGCUGAAAUUACAUAAUUUUUAUGACAACAUGAACGUGGAAUUCCAUAAUUUUAUGUGGUGGAUGCUGAAAUUUUUUGUUGAUGAAGUCCUAAGAUAGAAUGUUAUUAUUAUUAAUUUUUGUUUUGUUGAUUUAUAUGGGAACUAGGUUUUAUUUAUUUAUUAAUUUUUUUUAAGCAAAACACAAUCACAUGCUACACCAGGAAAGACUGAUGGGGGUUUGGAUUUUCCUGCCAUAUAUAUAUAUAUAAACAAACUCUUGACUAUGUUGCCUAGACUCUCCAAAAAUGGUGAAGUAUCCGUGUCGACACGACAUGACACGGAUACCGACAUGGGAUAUGGAUCGGAUCCUUGGUUUUGCAAUCGGACAUGGCAGCAAAAGAGGGAAGACGGCGGAAGGUGGAGUCUUUCUUCUAGCCGUACCAAAUUUUGUCUAUGAAGAUGUAGUUAUCCGGCCUUGUGUCUAUUUAUGGAUGCUUCUAGCUUGGAAGAAAGAAAACAGUAGAGUUGGGGAAAGAAGACUAAG